UCAUCACUCAUUCAUCAUGGCACAGUCUACUCUUCAAUUGCUUUCGCUUGUCGUCAUCUUCCUGAUUUCAAUGUCAGGGUUGAUGACGGUCGAAGCAGGUGAUUUCACCCACAGUCCUCCCUUUUGUUGUGUAAUAGACAACCCAUCUGGGAAAUGCCUGCAGAUGUGCAAAGGAUAAAAGUGGAAUUACACACAUCCAUGAGUUCCAGGAACAAUCCAUGGCAUCUGAAUAUUCAUUUUAAAAUACAAAAUCAUAUAAAUUCCAUGAAACUAUUUUUAUAAUUUGAACAUUUGACGUGAAAUAAAUAAGCAAUUAUAUGGAAUAGUCAAAAAUAAAAUUUUAAAUGCGUAAGUAUAUUGUUUUAAAAUAUAUUGGUUUCAUGGAAUUAAAAUAA